ensembl:lncRNA LINC01478 long intergenic non-protein coding RNA 1478
GAAAGAUAAAAGUACUUCCUGAAUAUGUGGAUGGUGAGCCACGUGAAUGGAAGACAUGGAGAUAUGGACUGUUAACACCUUGUCAAACAUUUAUUGUCCCUUCCACCUCUAAACUUCUGUGAUAAUAGGUGAACAGGACCCACGUGGUGCAGAAUACUGCGAUACACACUGCGGAAUAAUUCAGUGCAGAACAACACGUGGAUUGCUCAGUACAACUUGUUCAUCACAUCCUCCUGUUCACUGAAGAAUUAUGGAAAUAUUCUCUGAGCUGCUUUCCUCCCUGCCCAACGAGUCAUCUCUGUGUGAAAGGCCAAGCUUAUAAAUCCUGUGGAUUCCUUUGCAGAAACUUGAAAUGGGAAGCUGAGUUCUAUGCCUGGGAUAAUACAAUGCAAGACCAGAUUAUGUAGGAAAGCUGAGUUUGAGGACACAGGAAAUCCUGAAAAGCCUAAAGAUCUGAGAGUUAGCAAAAAUCCAUGGGCCAACUUCAAACUUGGAGGGCUGCAGAAUUAGUGACAUCCGAGCUGAGAAUAACAAAAGAUCAGUGGCAAUAAAUGCAAGAGAAAAAACUGCAUCAGGAGGGGUACCAGGGAAAAAUGGUUUAACAACAUCAGAAUCACGUCAUGGUCAUCAUGUCUGGAGGCAUUGUCAGUUAUGAUCUUCAGUGCUUCUCUGUCAUUUAUUAAAUGCUUCCAAACUG